UCAACACAAUUAAGCUGAGUUGUUGAAUUCAUAGAGCACAAAGGCCUCUAUAAAUAGUUGUCAGUUCAUCCCCAAAUGCAAUACAAUUCAGAUUGACCUUUAAUUUCUAAACCACCAUUAAAACCCUCUUAAACAAGAUAAAUUUCUGGAAAAUUACCAAAACCACCACAUUAACCACCACUGCCGCCCCAUUCUGCCGGAAACCACCGCAACUGUCACUGGCGUUGCUGCCGGCAUACCGCUUCCAUCCAGCUUCGCUCAGAAGAAAAAUCGGACUCGGAGCUCAGGAAGGACGAUAAAUAAGGCAAGAGAAAAAGCAUAGUCAAUCACGAAUAGAGGUGCCGACCGGGACGGCGGAUGCGAUUAGUGUCAAGGAUUUCGUCUUAUUAGGGCUCACCUAGUUUAAGCUUAAUUUGUACUAAGUUCAAGUAAGAAUUUUCUACUAAGUUAUGUAAAGUCACUUUUGAAUAUUAAUAUAGAACAUAUUUAUAUUA